GAAAUGCGAUAAGUAGUGUGAAUUGCAGAAUUCAGUGAAUCAUCGAAUCUUUGAACGCACAUUGCGCCCUUUGGUAUUCCUUAGGGCAUGCCUGUUCGAGCGUCAUCUAAACCUUCAAGCCCUGCUUGGUGUUGGGUGCCUGUCCCGCCUCCGCGCGCGGACUCACCUCAAAUCAAUUGGCGGCCCCCGCGUCGGCCACGAGCGCAGCAGAAACGCGAACUCGUGAGCCCGUCCGGGCGGCUCCCAGAAGCUACACCCACCCAGUUUGACCUCGGAUCAGGUAUGGAUACCCGCUGAACUUAAGC
rnacentral:misc_RNA from 1 species